rnacentral:lncRNA from 1 species
GGUUUGGAAAUUCAACCAAGACCCAAGAAAGGCUCCGGGCGACUCAUGCGGCUACAAAUGAUUCACGAAGAUAAUUAGCUAAGCCUCAUUGAAGAUUCAAGCUUCCGAUGUCGAAUGAUGACGCAAGAAGAUUUCAAAUUUCAGCAUUUGAAAAAUGAAAUUUGGGAAUUUUCGGGAUUGCUUUUCAUAUCACGAUUCAACCAUGGUGUGUAGGAAGGAUGUCGCCUACGUUAUCAUAAAGCUUGAUGUUUGAGGGUGAUUAUAUCGAACGGGAAAAGAAAAGAAAUAUCAUUCCAUGGAAGUUGCUUAUGUAUAAAAGUGGAGAUCAUAAAUAGGAUUAACUACGUUGCAGGAGAGGAUAAUGUUCGUGAACUUCCACUAGCUCAAGUUCCUAAGUUGGCUACAAAAGUUGAGUAGCAGCAAUGCGUCAAAACAACAAAGCAACCAUGAAGUUAAAAACUUCGCUUGAUGUCAUAUGCUAUAGCGCGUGUUGGCGAUGUUUCGUCAUUCGUUGCCCGCGCCGCAACGCGCGCGGGGUCUAAUUUCUAGUUAAACAAUUUAAACGGUACUACAGUCUACACAUUGAAUUGAUCAAUUGAAUAAGGCCAAGGUCAUUAUUCUACGUCAAAAUAAGCACACACUUUUGUAUUCUAUAGGGCACUAUUUAUAUAGGAGUGGAUUACAUUAAAACAUAAUGUAAUAUUUUUUUUAAAUAUUUUUUGUUAUAUUAGCAUAAUAUAAGUGUUUAUACAACCAUGUAAAUCCCAAUACAUUGUAAUAUAGUUUCACAUUUUUACCAUUUAAUAUAAGAUUUUUUAC